AGGUUGCUCCACCACUCCCCAGCAGACGUGAAGCCAAACCUCCUCCUCCACCCCCAAAAACCAGGAAAUCCAGCGUUGUCUCUUCAGAGCAAGGCUUAUAGUGAGGAUCAGCACUUGCUGGAGCAACAGCAAGCACCCAGAGUGAAAUGCCUGCUUUCUUUUUACUGACAGUGCUGGGCUCUCUGACCCAAAACACCAGUGAUCUCACCUGCCAUUCCAUUCACUCCCUUUGGAGUUUUCUUUGGGAAAUACCAAAAGGAACUGAUAUUGUGACUGUAUUCCCUAACGUCUGGUUUACCUUUCCAGUACUGAGACACUAAUCACAUAGCAGGAGAAGUCACCCUGCUGGAAUUUUUCUCUGUCUUAAGUCUUGUCUGUCCCAAGUUCUUUCACUGAUGCAAUUUCAGGAGCUCAUUCCUAGUGUAGACCUGUCACAGUAGUGAUUUGCACCAGUGUUUGGAACAAGGUAAGCCACGCCAGUAUGUGUCCUGCAGUGUUUUCAUGUAAGUUCAUUACACUUCACAGCUGCACUUCCCUCCUCCUGUCCCUGUGGCAUAGCCCAGCCCUGAUCUGCAUGAAGUGAAGCAGAUCACAGCCAGCCCUGAGUUGUGAAAUGUCAGGUGCUGGUGUAUGAUGUGCAGUCUCCAAAGGUUCCUGAGUGCAGGCAGAGACCUGAGCAUUGUUAGCAGAAUAAGGUCUUUUUUUUCUGCUAGUGAUCAUAUGUAUUGCAGAUGAAGUGCAGACAUUCUGCCUUCACCUUAAAUACAUACAUCUACCAUCUCUGCUCUGAGUAGUGGCAGUUGCGCAUUCCCAAUGGAGAGUUUAGGUUCACCAGUACUUUGUCAUGAUUUCACUGUUGAUUCUGGUUUUAACACUACAGAGCAGUUGAUACUCCACCCUGAAUUAUGUUACCUACCCAGUUUGUGCUUGCGUCUGGGACUUGGUAGAAUGUUUCAUCUUGUGCUUUUUAAUAGGGUGCAAAAAGGUGCCUCUCACCAGUAAGUAUGUGAGAAGAGUCAAAGCUGCACUGAUGCCAGCACUGUACUGGUAACCAGCAACUGAGAGCAGGAUGUAUAGAUCUAGCUAUACAUCCUGACCUCAGAAACAAAGUCUGACAGUUACUGUAACCUUUACUUUGGCUGGGUAAAUUCACAAAGACAUAGCUAAUUCUCAUCCUGUUCUUUUUCCCUGCACCCAUUUGCGGCAGUACUUGCACUUUGUUUUCUAGCCUGCCUUGAUCUGGGUUUUUAACAGCCACUGGCCUUUUAGGAGCUGUUUAGAUCUGGGAUGCACGUGGAAGACUUUACUAUUCACCACCUAGUUCCUAUUGCUUCCUCCACCUCUCUGGAGCUUUUAUUUCCUUGGAGAAUGAGAUAAUGUGUUUAACUUCUCUUUUACUUAUUUAUUUCCUGCUCAGUCUGAAUAUCAGCAUCAGUCCUUGUAUAGAGAAAAAAUGGCACAAUCUUAGGUUUUAAUGUUUCUCCAUUCACAUGAUCCAUACAGAAGGCGGCUGUUGCACACUGUUAGAAUAGCGCGUCCUCACAGUUGCAUAGUGACCAAAAAUUCAACACAAAUAUCACUGUUAUUUCGGGAGCAGACGAGCCUUAGACACAGCAUUCCUCUGUGCCUGAGCUGCCACUGGAAUCUGGCUGGUACAACCCAGGACGUCCCCAUUUGUGAUCAGUACUACUCAUUUUGCACCUUUCAGGGCUACUUGCUCUGGGCUGCAGCAUUGAGGUGGGGACCUGCCCCUUACAAGCCAGAAGACAAUUCAGUUUAAAACUCUCUUUCAGUGUAUUUCUCCUCUGUUCAGGGAGAAACAAAACCAAAGUAACCCCACAAUGGUUUUUGUUCAGACUGAAGUAGCCCUUUCCUUUGUUCUUACACAUGUUCUUUGGCUUCAGUGUGGCUCCAGUUCAGGAAACCUGCAGAAGCUGCAUUUGCUUUGGUGCCUGCGUGGCUCUGUGAAACAGAUUGCUCUCAUGGAAGGAUCCUAUUGGAUUCACAUCACAGAACAGGUUGGAGCCAUUUGGAAGUUGCCCUGCAGUCGCAUCACACACAUCUGCAGCCGUGUUUGCUGUAGCACACGUACAACUGCCUUCUGGGUUGUUGCCUUCCCAGGGGAAAUCUUGGAAACCUUCCUGGACAACUUGACCGUGGUUGCCCCCCUCUCUCUGGUGCAUUGUAGGACUCGUCAGCUCCACAUUAUGUUCUUGGACAUAGAUGCUGCUUGACUUGAAAACCACAGGGUUUUCUUGUCUUUCAUUUUUUGUGCACUUCCUUCUCUUGUAACCACUGUCUUCCUUCUGCUGCACACAUGAACUAAAGGGACCUCUGAAACUCUUCACUUGAACAAGAACUUUUUGUCUUCAGCGAGAAUUUUGCUUGAGAUAGAACAUCAGGAUGUGGUCUGAAUUGUAGAAAAGUGGGUAUUAACUCCACCUCUCACUAAUUCAGUGCCUUCCCCCAUUCUACAUCUGCCUGUUACCUCAUUCUUGGGUGCAUUUCUUUUUCAGAGCAGGUUGGCUCUUAACUCCUGUGGUAAGGCAGCAGAAACAAAGGACUCUGUGUGGGAAUCUCAGCUGAGGGUUUGUCUGUUGUGGGGAAACAAACUAGCUAUCAGCUUUGGGGAUUUUGGUUCCAAGUGACUUUUGAGUCUUAUUUCCCUACUUUUUUGAUCUGCUUUAAUCACUUGAACUCACACAUUGGGGUUUUUUCCUAGAGGAGGGAACUAGUCCAUGCAAAAAAACCUCACUGGAGGAAGUCUGACCUUGGGAAGAAUUGUUCAGCUGAUCUUCAGUGACCCUUUCCAUAAUGCUCUUUAACUUGGGGAGACUUGGUUCUCACUGUUUGGAGUGGGUUUUUGCAGUUUUAUAGACUAGGUUUACGAACAGGCCUUUCAUUUCUAUUUUGAUCUUUGACUUUUCCUAUAGAACCAGCUCCUUAAAAAGCAGUGAAGGUGUUAUCUUCCUGUAUGCUCUCCUUGCAAUCCACUGUCUCACCUGGCAGGUUCCUUAAACUUGGUCUUGGCAUGCUGUCCACACAGGUCAGGCUUUUCUCCUUGCUGCCUUUGUUGUCUGGCCGGUUGGAGACUGUUGUAGCUGAGCCAUCACCCUAACUGGAAGGAAAGGAACAGCUGAUGCCUAAAGAGCAUGGAGCAAGAUUUUCCUUCCUGGGAUAUUUUGGGCAUUUCAUUGGCAAAUCUGCUGUGCCAGAAAGGGGUUUAAGGUUGGGGGAUUUUUCCUUCCUCAGCAUUAUUUUGUUCUAGAGUCUGAAGUGGUGUAAACUCUCCCUGUUUCUCCUUCUUUCCUUUGGAAAACUAACUCACAAAUAGGUGUUCCAUUUUGAUAACUGUAUUAUUGCCUGUGGUGUGUGAGGAGUUCUGUUCUCAGCUGAUAUAAGUCAGCACAGUCUGCUUAGAGGUACUAUAUGGACUCUGUAGUGAUUCUGUGGGGCUUUGUGCCAGUUUUAGGAAAGAGCAUUGUCUUCUAAGUGUCAGAUUUUUAAAGGCAGUUGGAUAUUUAAGUGUGUGAAUAAGGAUGGGGCCUGGCUCAUUUUAAUUAAGUGAAAGUAAGUGCCUGCACUUAGGAGAAAUCCCACCAGACCACUGGUGAUUUGAGUGUUCUGCUCUUUGCUGUGGUACUUCCCUGACUUAAAUGCUGAGAUUUAACUUUCAGAGACAAUUUAAGGUCUCACUACUUCGCUUUCAGAAUCAGGAUCACCUUUCCAUGUUUAUUAGAUGCUCUUGGAAAUGUCAUCCACUGUCUUUUAAACUGGAGGGCUAGAAAUGGGAGUAGAACAUUAAUGUUGUCAUCUCUGCACACCAGAAGUGAACGCAAACAGCAGCAUUUCUACCCAGUUCAUGGGUCUUGAAUAAAACAAACCUCCCAAGUUAAAUAUCGAGUCUGCAGAGAAGACAAACUCUAAUCCCAUUUCGUAGCUGUGCUCUUCAAAGCUGGUGUUACAUUUCAAAUCUUAGAGGAUUUUGUUUUGCUUUGGAGAAAUAUGCUCAACACUUGUUUUCUGGAGCUUUUAAUUAAAAUUUGUCAUGCUGUGAUAAAUUCCUUUAAAAAUGUUACAGGCUCUAAUCCACAUCAGGGAGGAGGGAAACAGACAGCUUUCCAUUUCAGUGGAUUAUUGGAUUAGGAAAGGACACCGAUUCCAGUGAGAACAGAUCUGUGAUCCGCAGUGGCAGAAAACACUGUCAUGUCUAUGCAGUGGGUUUGGAGAACCUGCAUCUAACGACCUUCACACUGUGCAGCCCAGUGUGUGCUCCACACAUGAACAGUGAGUUAGACUUGGAGUGAUGAUGGCUCAGAUUUUCUCUCCUUAUUUAUUUUUAUAAGUGUAAAUGGAAAUAAUAAGUUGAAGGUGUCUGUAAUUUAACUGUAAGCUUUUUUAUGGUGAAAGCGUUCCUGACCCAUUACUGCUGCCUUCUUUUAAUUCUUUUAAUUAAAAACCUUCAGUAUUUGAUAUUUACUGUUGCAGACCAAAUUAUCUAGUGGAUCAGGGUGAGCUUUUCCUAGGACUACAUGGGAAAGAAAAAGAAAAGGAAUAAUGUGAUUUCAUUGCUGCUUGUGCUUUUCAAAGGUGCAUGAGGUUCACCUAAUUCUGCUCCUGUUAACAUUAAAGCAUCUUUAGGACUUUGUGGCACUACAGAGAGUACACAAAGGGGUAUAGAGGAGCUUAAUAAAAGGUGAAAAGCAUCUUUUGAUGCUGUAUUGGUCUGACUGUCGUGAUUUAAGGCUGUCUGAAUCCCUGGACAUGCCUGACUGCAUACUUCAAACCUGGUUUUCACAUGCAUGGUCUGCAGUUGUCUGUUUUCUUAAGCAGAGGUGUAAAUCCUCAGCAGCUCUGAAAUUCAGCCCCAACAUGCAUGGUAUUAAUUGAUGUAGUUUUUCAUUGUUGGUAUUACAAAGGUUUAAUGACAUGAUAAACCUUGGGACUUGUUCAUCUUGAAUUCAGGAGAAUACGGAUGUUGUGUAACAGUAUUUUGUGAGUGGUUUGAGAUCCUGGAUGUGAUGGUUUAGUUACAAAACGCACCUCUGCAGACUGCAAAGACCUUGGUUUUCUUUUCCCUCUUUCUUUUAGUUCUCUGCAAUUGAAUCAGCAAAAAAUACAGCUUUUAAACUGGCUCUGAAGAAAGAGUAGGAGCUAAGCUUUGGAAAGGGAGUCUGCAUCUCUCUGGGUAAAUGACAUCUGAUUCACUAAGUCUGUAAAGCAAGGUGUAUAAAUUUUCAUGGUUUUUAAAAUGUAUUAACUGUUGUAAAGUUUGUAAAUACCUUUUUAAAAUAAAUGUAGUUUUUAUGAGUGAACCAGUAA
rnacentral:lncRNA from 1 species